CUCCGGAGCCGGGCCCUCCCGCCCCCUGCACCCGCGGGACCCCGCGCAGCCUCGCCCAGCGCUGCCGGGCGCCGGGAACAAAGAGCAAUGCCGGGCCGCGGGGGCCGCACGGCGAUGGAGGCGCGGUGGCUCUUUUCUUGCCUUCGCUAAACCCUGUGAAAUCUGCGGGUCAGAGCCCCAGGAAGGCUUGGUGGCAGCAGGUUAAAUGAGGUGACCAUGCCGGCUUCAGUAACCACGUCGGGCACUCCAGUUCAAGCGCGGACUCCGGGAAGCGGGCCGGGUGCUGCAGGGCCUGCUGGCAUUACCCCUGCUCGCAUUUCGUGGAAUACAGUUCUUUGUUUUGCACCAAAUGGAAACCUUACCAGAAACGAACCAGGGGUGCUGCCUUCCACCUGCCAUCUGUCUUAAGAAUAAAAUGGCCUGCAAGUCGGUUUUCACAGGCUGACAAAGCACCGCCAGUGCGGGAACCCCACGCCAGGCUCCCAGGUGAUCUGCAUGGGCUGCAAGUCACACCCCAGUCCUUAAAAUACAGACUUACAGGAGCUGCAGUGUGUACCCCCAAGGUAGAAGAGUAUGAGGAAUUGUUACAAACCACAUUGCAGAACAAAUUUCUAAAAAGGGGAAAAAAUCCAGCUUCAGUCCCCAAGUGUAAGAUCUCUUUUUCAACUACACAUGAUAUAAGGCUUAUUAAAUACUGCUAUGCACAUAAAGGGCAUCCUUGGAAUCCAGAUUGGAGAGAGGAAAAUAUCUCCAAUUUGCUGGUCCUUUGGGAAACUGAGGAAAAAAUUAAAUUCACAGCUUCAAAUUCCAGACCAAACUAAAAAUCCUGCCUUCUCAGAACACUCUUGAGACCUGGGUCUACCCCAGAUAUGCAUCCACCUUCCCCAGAGUGUUAUGAAAUUCAGUAAAAUGUCAUUUCACACAUUACUAAUCGGGCUCUUAAUAAGUGUAUUGAGUGCAUACGAGGGGUCACAUGUGUGAAUCCAUCUUGUCACACUUGAGCACAUAGUUCAGUGUAGGGGGUGACAUUUAAAUAAUAACACCCCCCAAAAAAAUAAAUAAAAUAAAUAAUGACAUCUCAGAGUUUAAACUGCCCCAGGAGAAGAACCAUUACAGUGGUUUAGGGACAUGGAAAAUUGCUAGAUCUGCCCUUUUUUAUAUAAUUUUUUAAUAUUUAUUUUUUAGUUUUUGGCGGACACAACAUCUUUGUUUGUAUGUGGUGCUGAGGAUCGAACCCAGGCCGCACGCACACCAGGCGAGCGUGCUACCACUUGAGCCACAUCCCCAGCCCUAGAUCGGCCCUUUGCAGCAGUAAGAUUCCAUGAAAUUAAUUUAGAAUUUUCUUAAACUGUAAAGGAGUUAUUGUAGAGCUUACAAAAACAAACUUUUUAGAUAUGUACAAAUUAUGUAUUUCAUUCAAGGAGAACCUAAUUCUUUAUAGGCCUCCUUUUACUAGCAUAAGUAUAAAUUGUUCUUGACUAUUCCUGAACUGUUCUUACUAGGCAUAUUAAUAGCACAAAUACUUGAUUCUUCUAAAUUUAGUCAUUUGUAGGUAUUUUAAAUAGUCCCAAAAAUGUUUUAAAAUUAUUAUUUAGGUCUAUGGCAUGCAAAUUAUUUACACAUUUAAAUGUACUCUUCUAUUUUCAUUGAAAUCUGCUUAUAGAUGUCCAUACCGAGACCAUUGUUUGCAGCCUGACACAGUGGCACAUUCCUGUAACCCCAGCUAUUUGGGAGUCCGGCACGGUAGGAUCUACAAUCCCAGGCCAGCUUCGGUCACAUAGGAAGACCCCAUCUCUCUCUCUCUCUCUCUCUCUCUCUCUCUCUCUCUCAAAAACAAACAAACAAAAAUGUUUGUUAGCUUUUUUUGUGGUAAAUAAGUAUACAAAAUUACAUGCUGAACAUGUAUAUCUUGGAGGUACUUAAUGGGUCAAGUAAGAUUCUUGUAAAGUUUUCAUGAAUAGAGCAGUCAAAUAUAAAAUACUGAUUUUAAGUAUUUCCAAAGAUCCGUGGCUGCAGAAUUUCCAUUUACUCUGGCUUAAUGAUUUGUGAACAAGUUCUAGUGCAGCACAGUUCCCCACACCAUGUGCUAACAGCUCAGUAGCCAUUGGUGAGUUUGCCAAGAUUCUGAACCUCCUUCAGCAGCUGAGUGGUUGCCAAUGGCCCAGGGGUUAUAAAGCAGGCUCACAGUGCUAUGCAAGAAUUUGUGAUCACUUACAUGGUGCUUGCUGUUAGGUGCCACAUUCUGUUCUAAGCAUGCUGCAAAUACUAACUUGACCCAUCGACAGAACUAUGAGGUGGGUACUGACUGGACCCAUUUUACAGAAGGGAAACAAAUAGAGUGUGACAGUGAGUGUCCCCCCAGUCCUGAAGAGCAUGAGAAAUCCCGGGCUUUGAGGGACGCCCCCUGUCCAAGAGGACUGGGAACUGAAGGAGGAGUGAAGCUAAAGGCACUGCCCGAACCCAUUGAAUCAACUGCCACCAAAGCUAACAGCACCCCUUUUGGCACCCCUGUGCUCUUCCAGGAGUGUUUCCUUAAGCCAUAAAGUGGUAACCCUGAGAACUGACCAGAAAUGGAUGCAGUGCUGAGAGUAAGUGCAAGAGGUAAGUGAGGAAAUGGAUGUAGGAGUGACUGUGACCCUUGAGGAAAGCUGUGGACAGAACAGUGCCUUCGAGGCACUAGCCCCGUCUCUGCUCUAACACAUUGAAGAUUCACAUCGACUAUCCUCCCCUCGCAGGGCAUCAAAUACCUGAUUGUAACUAAUAGUCUCUUGUUUCCCCAUCUGUGACAAUCUUGUUUUAAUGCAUUGCAGAGAACAGAAAAAUCAGAUGUCACAGGCACUCUACCAAGAUAAACAGGAAGGCAAUCUUUGGGUUCCCGGAAAAUCAACGGAGAAUUUGAGCCAUUUUCUAUCUAUAGUUUGGGGACACAUACAUGAAGAUGUCUCUUCAACUUCGAAGCAGCACCUGCUGUCUGGGCCAGCAUUCUCCCAGAGGCACAUGUGUUCCCAGGUGCACAAGGCCACCCUGCUCCUAGCGCUUUGGGCAAGGCUGUCCCCCCUGGAAAACGAAAUCAUUAAUUAAGAACUUCUCUAUGUCCAGGAAAAUUGAAAUAGCCAAACUGUAUCAGUCAUGAUCUUAAAAUGACCCAUGAUCCAGUUUAGAAUUUUAUUAAGGAUUGUAAAAUAAGAAGUAUAAAAUUUAUGGCCAUUUCUCAUUAUGGUGAGUUUUUAAAAUGGCUCAUAAACUUGGGAUUUUAUAUAUUAUAUAUUAUAUUAAUGUUAUUUUUUUCCUAGCAAACAUUAUCUUAACAUUAAACCUACUUUUAUCAUAGUGCCAAUUAGUAACUUAUACCAACCCAAGUUAGAAACACAGAAAUCAUUUUUCUGCAGCAAACUGAAAACAUAAACAAAGAGAAAAUGAUGUAGGCAGUUCCAUUGUAUCAGCUCAAGCAGUGAUCAACCUGCGCCCUCUUCUUCUCUAACCCUGUUCUGCCCCUUUUUGUUCUUGGUGGGUGGGUGGGAGGGAAUACUAAACAUAUACGAACUUCAACAUGCAUGUCUGAGAAGGCUUGUAAGAAAAAGAUCAAGUAUUAGAUUUUUUUCCUGGUUGUCUCAGGAUUCUGUUUUUUGUGUUUCUUGAGUGGAUUUUGCUUGACCAGUACCUGUCCACCUACCUCCCUUCCCCCACUGAUUUGCUGGAGGAAUGUGACCACUUAUGCUGUAGAUGUCCCUUGUUCUGAAUUGGCUGGCUUCUUCCUGUGAUAACCCCUUUGUUCCUGUAGGUAGUGAGAUGGAUUUUUAUCACCCAUGGCCUGAGUGCUGUGCAUCUCCUAAUAGGCCACAUCUGGAGACACAGGCUGGCUGGGAGUUGUUGUUCAAGGUCAUGUGACCACAGCCUGUCUCCUCCCUCUGAAGAUUACACCACCCUCUACUCAGUUGUUCUAGCUUCAAAUCCCAUAUUUCAUUAGAGGCUGUAGAAUAAGGAACUUUCUAAUUCUAUCAUUCUUUCUGAAUUUAUUACCUGAAGAAAUUCUACCUUAUGGAGCCUUUCUCCACCAACUCUUGGUUGCCCUGAAAUACCACUUGUAUGUGACAGGGAGGGUCAAUCCCUGUUUCUUUUUAUUUCUCAAUUUUCAGAAAUAUUGAGCUGGUGCCCUAGCGAUUUCUAAAGAGGUUUAAAGAAACAGCAUGAAUUUGUGGAUUUUCAUGGCUGCAACUCUGGUGCUCCAACUGUCCCACGUGUCCUAGACAUGGUCACAUUAACCCGUGAGGAGUUCUUGCUUCCUGGCACAAGAUGACCCAGACUGACCUUGCACACUCCUUGUCCCUGGCAUAGACUGGGCAUAACUCCAGAGCCCUGGUUACUUCUAGUGAGAAAUGGUGGUUUAUACUGCUGUCACAGGAGGACGCAUGGCCACUGGGUUGAUGUGACUUCUAGUGCCUUCUGAUAGAGCCAGGAUGGGGGGUUUCAUGUGACUGUGCCAGGAGUAGAAGCAUUGCUGGGUCUCACUCCUCUGGAGCCUUAAUAUAAUAUCCUCUUUCCCUCUGCUGCAGUGUCUCCGAGGGACACCAUGGCCUGGCUGCUCAUCUACUUCUCUCAGAAGAAAUGCUCAUCCAAGAUGCUGCCCCAGGGCUGGCCCCUUCUGGCCUCCUCCCCGAGGACUGCUGGGCCUCCCACGCCAGUGUUUGGUGCCCAGUGCGGACACCCUGCAGGGUGACUCCUCUGUACCUGCCUUUUGCUCUCCUCUUGUUCAAGGGCAGGUGCUUAAGCAACCUUGGCAUCACCGUCCUGCAGAGGCACACAGGCUAGAGAAAUCUGGAGCUCAUUUCUCUACUCACAGGUAAUCGGGAGUUUGUACUGUUCCGUUUCAUGCUAGUGCUGAAGGUGAGCGUUAUUUGCACUUCAGAUUUUAUGGAUUUGGGGGAAGCUGUAUCGAGAAACAGUGAUUUGGCCUCUGACUUUAUACUCCAGGCCUGAAAGCCCUGUUAGGGAGCAGCUGUACCAUAACCAGAGUGAGAUCGUGUGGGAACACGUGAGCCAGAGGUGCUUCAGAGCAGUGAUGGAUGCUGUAAUGUAGACCCAGGGUCAGAGAACUCUUCUGUGCAGACCCAGACGAUAAACAUCCUGGGCUUUGGGGACAGGCUAUCGCUUCUUGUUGGGGGCCAGCAACUCUGCUGCUGAAGCACAAAAACAGGCAUCAACAAGAAGUGACCAGAGCAGUGUGGCUGUGCUCCCACCAACUUGACAGCAAAAACAGGCAACAGCCAGAGUUAGCCACAGGCCGUAAGUGCCACCGUGCCACAUACCAGCCCCUGGGAAUGACCUCAACACAGAUCAAUCACAAAAUGUCAUGAGAUGGUGGUAUGCUUCAGCAGAAAGCUCAGAGAACAUCAGUAGAAUAAUAUUUGCCUUUUUAAGAGUUUCUCACUUAAUACAGAAAUAGCAGCUCACAUCUUCCAUUAAAGGCAGAAGGAUGGAGAUUGCUUUAGAUCUUUGCCGUGUAGUAUCAUCAUAGGCAGUAUUUAAUGGUGGGAAAUGGCUCACAGUACGUUGGGACGUACUAGCACAGUUCAGGCAUCCAAUUAACACUUGUUGGUGAGUAAGCUUUAAAAGCUUACACAAAAUACCAUCUGUAGUUUGCAGAUAGUGUUCAGUGUGCUUAGAAGAGCCUGAAGUGUGGACGGCAGUGUCCACGGUGAGAACUACUGAAUGGUCUCGUCAUGAACAUCUUUGUUUUCUUUAGUUGUUUCUUCCUUUACAAUUCCACAAUAAAUGUGUAGAUAGUUUGUUAAAUAUAUUUGUUUUGAUCUGAAACAAAUAAUAAUUUAAUGGCUUGUUUGUGAUAUAGUGUAAAAGAAUGAAUAAACAAAGGACUUAAAAACAAAAGAUGCUUUAGUAGAUGGGAUGCUUUUGUGGUUUGGAUCUAAUAAUGUCCCCCUCAGAACUUGUUUUUUUGUUUGUUUGUUUUGGGGGGUAUUGGGGAUUGAACUUAGGGGCACUCGACCAUGGAGUCACAUUUCCAGCCCUAUUUUGUCUUUAAUUUAGAGACGGUGCCUCACUGAGUUGCUGAGGCUGGCUUUAAACUCAUGAUCCUCCUGCUUCUGCCUCCCUAGCUGCUAGGAUUACAGGCGUGCGCCACUGUGCCUGGCCCUCAGAGCUUGGUGUGAAAGCUGACCCCUGAUGAAGCACGGUUCUGGGUGGGGUGUUUAGGCAGUGAUGAGAACUGUGACCUUUCCAGCGGAUUGAUCCAUUUGACGGAUUCAUAUUGCAAAUGGAGGACUGCGUGCUACUGUACACAGGUGAGGAGAGGCUGGAGGAGGUGGUCACUGGGGGCAUGCCCUUGGGUGCUUUAUCUUGUCCCCAGUCCUAGGCAGCUCUCUCCUGCUCUUUGCUUUCUGGCUGCUGUGAGCUGCGCCCUUUCCUCGGCUGAGUCCUUCACUGAGAUGUCCUGCCUUACCUCAGGCCAGAGCAGUGGAGUUGGCCCACUGUGGACAUGACCUCUGAAACUGUAACCCCCCCCCCAAUAGGUUUUCCUCCUCUAAGUGCUUCUUAUCAGGUUUUUGGGGAACAGUGAGAAAAAGCUAACUAAAAUAGUUACAGAAAAAAAUUGACAACAUUUCUGAAGGCAAUAUGUUUCAGUGUAAAAAGCCUGAAUUUUAGAAAAAUAACUGAGUUCAUAUUAAAACUCCCUUAAUACCUAGUGAUCUUUAAAAGUGAGAUGCCAUCCUGGUCCUCAGUUUACCCACCUUUAAGGUGGGAUGAUAUUAUCUACCUCGGUAGUGUGGUAAAAGCUAAAAGAAUUUACGUAAUGAGGUAAAUUCUAGCUUUCCAAACUAACUCCUUAGAACUGUUUUCGAAAUUUUGAGUUUCUUAACCUAUUUUGCCUUUUCUUUAUAACCAAGUACAAAGUCUUUCUCUAUAUUUUAAUUAUAAAUUCCUGUAUCAUAUUCUCCAGGCCAUAGAAUCAAAGACCACAGGUAAAGUCAAGUCUGACACCUUUAGACUCUCCUGGGCACCUGCUGCAGUCACUGUGACCACUUGGUCUGAGCACAAGAGAAGGGUGCAGCUCCAUGCACGAGGGUGCCAAUCUGAUCUUGCUUCCUCACGGCACCCUGAGCAGCCCUCCUCUUCUUCUGGCAGGCCCACAUGGACCCUUCGGAUCUUCAGAUUCUUGUGUGGCUUGCACCACAAUUUCUUCUCUCCUGGUCAAAUUGUUGUAACACAUGGUACUAAUAUUUGGACAUUUGUCCCCUGAAAAAUCCUUAUUGAAGCCUAAUUGCCAUCCAAGCAGCAUGAAGAGCCAACUAAGCCGAGGGCGAGAUCUCGUGGUGGAUCACAGCCCUACUAAAAGAGCUGAGGCCACAGUGGGAGGUUCUGCCCUUGUCUGCUUUAGCUCUUCUCCUUCAACCAUGCGAUGCUGCAGCAAGAAGGCCAGCGCCAGAUGCCAGCGUCUUGUCCUGGGCCUCCCACACUCCAGAACUGUGAGCCAAAUAGAGUUCUGUUCAUUAUGAAUCCGCAGCCUCAGGAUUCCAUUACAGCAGCAGCAGUGAACGCAUGGCAUCCCGGCAAGCCGCAGAAGGCACCUUUGUAGAUAGAUAAUGGCCUCCAAAAAUAUUUCUCAGCUCUUGACUUCUGAAUGAGUCAAUGAUCUCAUGUAAAGGGGGUUUGCAAGAUAAUAAUGCCAAUAUUAGAGUAAAUGUUAUUAGUACUGUAUUCUAAGAAAAUCACUCGCUGUGAAGUAGGAAAGACUAUGGAAAUGGUUAGCAAUAUGGAACGCGCACUUCCUCAGGCAUCCAACAGAUUCUCCUUCUGCAGGGGUGGAGCUCUAGAUUGUUUAUUUUAUAUCCUUGCAUUUGUAUUGCAAAGUCCCAAUGAAAAGUAAAUUGUUUUCUGUGCUGAAUGAAUUGCAGCCGGAAUUCAAAACAGAGCUGCAGAAAGAAGGAAGAGCAAACAAGCACCACAGAGUGCAGUCAGCAGUGAGGGCGGGGGACAUGGCUGCCGCAGAGGAGAUGCUUCCAGAAGAAGGUAUAAAGGGAAAUCCUAAAGGAAGUCUCCGUGGCCACUUAGGGUACCUUACGUCUCAGGAAAUCAAUUUUUAAAAACUUUUAAAUUAAAAUUAAAUCUAUUUUAACUGAUACAUAAAAACAUAAAAAGUACAUAUUUAUGGGUUGGGGGUAGAAAUGAAUAAUAGGAGGAACUGUUGAAAAUUAACAAAUAUGUGGAAAUUAAACAAUAUGCUACUGAACAAUGAUUGGAUCAAAGACAAAUCUAAAAGGGAAACUAAAUAAUAUGUUCAAGCAAAGAAAAAGUGGAAACCAAAACCUAUUCAGCAAAAGCUGAUCUAAGAGGAAAGUUCAUAGCAAUAAGUGCCUGAAAAAGAACAGUUUCAAGUGAAGGACCUAGUGGACACCCCAAGGAAGUAAAUUAAGGAAUUUUAAUUAAGUAAUUUAAAAGGACAAAGUAACCCCAAGGUUAGCAGAAGGGAGGGAAUAAAGAUCAUAAACAAGUGAAGUAGAGAUUAUAAAGAUAACAAACGAUCAAUAAAACUAAGACUUGGUCUUUUAAAAGCUAAACAAAAUUGACACACCCUGUACUAAGGGGAAAAAAAGACUCAAAUAAAUUCAGAAGCAAAAGGAAGACAUUAAAACUGAUAACAGAAAUACAGAGGAGGAUGACCAACUCCUGCGAACAUCUAUACACCAACAAAUUAGACAACCUGGAAUAAUUGGAAGAAUUCCUAAAAACACAUAACCUACCAAGAUCAAAUAUUGAAGAGAUCUGAAGUCUGAACAGCCUAAUAAAUGACUAAGGAGAUUAAGUAAGUAAGUAAAAGUAUCCAUCAAAGAAAAGCCAAGGAAUGCAGGGCAUAGUAAUACACAACCGUAAUCUCGUUGCUCAGGAGGCUGAGGCAGGAUGGCAGCCAGUUCAAGGUCAGCCUAGGCAAUUUAAUAAGACUCUGUCUCAAAAUAAAAAAUAAAAAGUAACAAGGACUGGGGAUGUGGCUCAGUGGUAAAGCUCCCCUGAGUUCAAUCUCCAGUGCUGCCAAAGGAAAAUUUUUAAAAAAGCACAGGACCAGAUGGCUUACAUUCUAGUAAAUAUUUAAAGACAAACUGAUACCAAUUAUUCUUAAACUCUUCAAAAAAAAUUGAAGCAUAUGGAAUACUUCCAAAUUCAUUUUACGAGAUCAGAAUUACCUGGUAUCAAAGCCAAAACAAAGGCACUACAAGAAAUGUAAAAUAUAGGCCAAUAUCACUGAUGAAUAUGGACACAAAAAUCCUAAAAAAAAAAAAAUAGAAAACCAUAUUCAACAGUACAUUGAACAGUAUGUUCACCAUCAUCAAGUGAAAUUUAUCCCUGGAGUACAUUUGGUUCAACACAUACAAACCAAUAAAUGCAAUUCAUCCUAUUGACAGAAUGAAGAACAAAACCUAUGUGAUCAUCUCCAUUGAUGCAGAAACAGAACUUGACCAAAUUAAUUAUUCUUUUAUGAUAAAAUUCUUCAACAAAUCAGGUAGAUAGACUGUUCCUCAGCACAAUAGAGGCCACUUGUGAUCCGCCCAUGGCUCAACAGAGAAAAGUUAGUUUUCCCUCCCAGAUCAGGAAAAAGACAAGGGUGCCCACUCUCAUUACUUCUGCUAAACAUAGUACAGGAAGUCCUAGCUGGAGCAGUUGGGAAAGGAAAAGAAAUAAGAGGUAUCCAAAUAGGAAAAGAUGAAGCAAAAUUGUGUGCUGAUAUGAUCUUACAUAUAGAACAUCCAAAAAGUCUCCCCCAAAUACUAUUGGAACAGAUAAACAAAUUCUAUAAAUUGCAAGACACAAAAUCAGCUCACAAAAAUCAGUAGCAUUUCAAUAUGCUAAAAACAAACUAUCUGAAAAAGAAAUUAAGAAAACAACCCCAUUGGCAUAGCAUAAAAAAUAAAAUACUCUGGAGUAGAUUUAACCAAGGAUGUGAAAGAUGUGUACACUGAAAACUCUAAAACAAUGAUGAGGGGAAACUGAAGAGACCCAAGUAAAUGGGAAAACACCCCAUGUUCAUGGAUUGGAAGAAUUAAUAUUGUUAAAAUGUCUGUGCAAUCCAAAGUGACCUACAGAUUCAGUGUAAUCCUUAUCAAAGUCCCAAUAUCAUUCUUCACAAAAAUAGAAAUAGAAAUCUUAAAAUUCACAUGAAAUCUCAAUCCUGAGCAAAAAGUACAAAGCCUGAGGUGUCACACCAGCAGGUUUUGAAGAAGGUUAUGAAGAUGUAGAGCUCGAAACAGCACAAACAGGCACAAAACAGACACAUCAACCAAUGAAACAGGAUGGAGGGUUCAGAAAUAAACCAUAUACGUUUGCAUCAACUGAUUUUUGACAAAGUUGCCAAGAACACAAAACGGGGAAAGAACAGUCUCUUCAGUAAAUGGCCUUAGGAAAACUGGAUAUCCAAAUGCAGAAAGACGAAAAUUGUCACUUAUCUUACCCUUUAUUCAAGAAUAAACACAGACUGUAUUGAACCCUAAGAUCUGAAACCAUAAAGUGACUGGGAGGAAACGAGAGAGGAGCCCCAUGAUGUCUGGGCAAUGAUUUCUUGGACAUACCCCAAAGCACAGCAAUGAAGCAGAACAUUGGGACAGCAUCAGGCCAACAGGAGUUUGCUCAGGAAAGGAAACAAGAGACAGCCCGUGGAGUGGACAGAACACCUGCAAGUCACACACGGGACAAGAACUGAUACACCAACUACUCAAGAGCAAGGAAAAGAAACCUAGUGAAAAUAGGCCUAGGACUCGAAGGGCAUCUCUCAAAAGAAGACAUACACAUGGCCAACAGAGAUAGGAAAGUGUAGAUAUAUGGGCUAGUGUACUAUUUUGAUACAUGUACACAUUGUGGAGUGAUGUGCCAUCACUCUGUAAUCAUCAGAGAAUGCAAAUCAAAUCAUGGAAUUUACCACCUCACCGUGGUGACUGUUCCCAGAAAGAUAAAAGAUGGCAGUGUUGGUGAGGGUGUGAAGAGAAGGAGAAUUUGCCCUGGGGAAUGUUACAAAUUAGUGCAGUCCCUGUGGAAGACAAUAUCACGGUGCCCCCAAAACUGAAGAUAGAAUGGCCAUAUGACCCAGUGAUCCACACCCAGGGGGAACGAAAUCAGCAGGUUGAAGAGACACCCACAGCCAGAUUCAUUCCAGCACUGGUCACAAUAGCCAAGACACGGAACCAGCCCAGGAGUCCGUCCAAGGGGGAGGGGGUUUUAAACGGUAGGGUCUGUACUCAUGGAACACCAGGGGGGGUCUGCCUAACAACAGGAUGAACCCAGGUGUUGGGGGUCCCAAGGCUCCAAAGACUAACUUCCCCAUCCCCCAAGAAGAGCCGUCCAAUGGUGAGCCCUGCUGGCUCACAUGAUCCUUGCCAUCCAAUGGUGAGCCCUGCUGGCUCACAUGAUCCUUACCCACCAAUCAGAAAGCACCCCAGCCAACUGUCAAACCGUUUAACAAUUAAAUUGUUAUAACUGUCAAACCACCCCUGGCUCUAUAAAUAUGCAGAGCUGUUCCUCAAUAAAUGGGCAUGUUCUCCGACGGCAAGCCUUGAUCGUUCUUUCACCAGAACUGCACAUCAAGUGAAUGAGCCACCAUGGGACAGAUAGAGUGAGGACUCGAAGAACAUCGGACUCCAAAACACAGAGAGUGGAGUGGCCGUUACCAGGGGCUGGAGGGUGGUGAUGGGGAGAGGAGGGAGUGGUGGUCAACAGACACAGUUUCAGCCAUGCGGGAGGAGUAAGUCUUGGUGAGCUGUCAUGCAGCUGGGCAAUUAGAGUGAAUCAUGAUGUAUCGUCUAUUUCAAAACCAAAAAGAGGGUUUUAAAUGUUCAUACCAAAAGGGCUGAUAAACAUUUGAGGUGAUGAAUUACUCUGGUCUGAUCAUUCCACAAUGUAUACAUGUAUCAAAAUAUUACAUCAGCCCAUGAAUUUACACAAUUAUUUGCCAAUUAAAAAUAAAAUUUAAGCUGGGUGUGGUGGCCCACACCUGUCCACCCAGCUACUCAGAGGCCGAGACUUGAGGAUCAAUUGAGCCCAGGAAUUCAAGACUAGCCAGAGCAUCAUAGAUCCGUCUGGAAAAAGCAAACUAACUAAAAAAAAAAUAAAAAACUGUGGUAAAGGAAGAAAUGGAUAGGAUCUUGCUUUACAGAGGUCAGAACCAGGGCAGUAUCGGGAGAGGGCCGCGGAGUCAAGCAAGGGAUUUCUUGAAAGGUGGGAGAAAAAGCCACGUCUGUCUGCUGACCAUAAGAGAUGGUGGCUGUGGCUUUCCCUGAGAUGCAGGUGGCAGUACAGAAGGGGAAGGGGGAAGGCUGCUCACCUGCUUAAGUCAGCCCUUGCACACAGAGGAGUGUGGCCCUGUCUCUGUGGGGUGGCUACAGGCCUUUCACCAGGCCUCUCAGCACCCAUAAUGAGCCAGGUCCAGUUGCUGCUCCUGCAGCAAGACAAAUCACAGUGCCACACUCCAUCUGCACGGGCUGUCCCACUUUGUCAUCUGGGUGGCGUGUGUGCAUGUGUGGACAUAAGUACUCUGUGUGCAAUGUGCCCAUUCCUGUAACAGACGUGGAGUGUGCACGGGUGUCUGGUGCACAAGUGCUCAGUGUGCCAUGUUAGCUGUGGUGGGUGAUUUCGCAACAAGUGCCGUACAUUGUACAUGGCUGCGCAGGAUCAGCCUUGAGCUCAUCACACCAUGCAACAGGUUCUUGUUAAAGCAGCAUUCUGGAAAGUACAUCGCACAUGGGAAAGGAAGAGAAAUGGAGCCACUGAAGUAGGCGAGGACAAAAUGGCCUGUGGGUAACAAGUAGUCCCCAGGUAGGAACUGGGCUUCCAAAUGCAGUGAGCACUUUGUGGCCUUG
rnacentral:lncRNA from 1 species